rnacentral:rRNA from 1 species
ACGUAGGAGGCAAGCGUUGUCCGGAUUUACUGGGUGUAAAGGGUCCGCAGGCGGACCUGUGAGUCGGUGGUGAAAUCCUCCAGCUUAACUGGAGAGCUGCCUCCGAUACUGCAGGUCUUGAAUCAAGAAGAGGGGGACGGAAUUCCAGGUGUAGCGGUGAAGUGCUUAGAUAUCUGGAAGAACACCGGUGGCGAAGGCUGUUCCCUGGUCUUCGAUUGACGCUCAUGGACGAAAGCGUGGGGAUCAAACAG